CCCACUUCGCGUUUCCUCUCACCGGACCGCCCUUUGCGUUUCUCACCGCCGUUCGACGCCUCCACCGCGCCGCCCAGCUCUGUUGCAGCCUCCACGGCCGCUCAUCCCCUUCGGGCAUCGCCCAGCCUCGUCCACGCUCGCAGCCGCAUGUCGCCUAGCCUCAACCCACAUGUCGCUCGUCUGUCCAGACUCGACCCACACAACGCUCGUCCUCCAGCCUCGCAGACCCAAGCGCCGCUUGUCCGCUGCCGCCGAUUUGCCGCACGAAUUUCUUUUGCCACUGUUCUAUCAGAUCUUGGCUUUGGGAUAAGAUCUUGGUUUAAUGGUGAAAUUGGGUUUUGGUUGAAUUCCCACUUAAUUUUUGGACUAAAUCUUGAUAUUUUGACUGUAGAUUGAAGUUGGUGUGGGAUUAAUUUGCUGUUUAGCGAGUCAAUUUUAUUGGCGUUUUCGACACAGUUUGAGUAAGCAUUUGGGUAUUAAAAAUUUUUGGGGAUCAACGAGGGUUGUGAUAAACUGGGUAUUCUGAAAUUUAGUCUAAAGAUAUAAAAUUUAGUUGUUUGGGUUGGAACUAAAGGUUGUGUUUCCGUGUUAGGAACGUUAAUUCGAGUUGCUACUGGUGUUUGAUUGCUUGAAUUAAUUUUAGAAUUUCGACUCGAGGUAAGUAAUCUUACUACUAGAACGGUUUAUGUGUCAGACAACGAAAUUCAAGUUUUUAUUUUGAGGUUGUUGCAUAGAAUUGCAUGAGGGUAAGUAAGUUGUUUUGAUUAUGUAUGAAAGAUGUUAUGAAUGCUAGCAUUAACUUCAGUAUUGUUAUUUGAGCUAUGAGUAUGAUGAGAUGUAUUUACAUGUUAUGGGACUAUGUCAUGACUCAUGUGAUGUUACGAUAGUAAUAGUUAUCUUUAUUGAUAAUUAGAUACCCAUUAGAGGUGGUGACCUCCUUCGGGGUUCACCAAAAGUUGUGUUUCCUUCGAGAUUUACUAGAGUUGGUAUUUCCUUCGGGAUUCACCAGAGGUCCUGUUUUCUUCAGGAUUCACUAGAGGUUGUGUUUCCUUCGGAAUUCACUAGAGGUUGUAUUUCCUUCAAGAUUCACUUGAGGUUCUGUUUCCUUCGGGAUUCACAAGAGGUUGUGGGUACUUUUAAACUAUGGUAAGAGUAAGGACGCGCCGACGAAUGAUAAGCGGAAUCCGUGAUCGAGCUACUGGGACCAGUCAUUUGCUUCCACUCAUGUUUUCAAGAUUUUUCUAUGUUUUAGUUUCUUGUUUUCACAUUUAAAACCCACAGUUUUGGUGUUUGUAUUUUUUACUUUUAAAGUUUUCUAGAUUGGUUUUA